UGGGGAAUAUUGGGCAAUGGGGGCAACCCUGACCCAGCAACGCCGCGUGAAGGAAGAAGGCUUUCGGGUUGUAAACUUCUUUGACGAGGGACGAAAUAAAUGACGGUACCUCGAAAACAAGCCACGGCUAACUACGUGCCAGCAGCCGCGGUAAUACGUAGGUGGCAAGCGUUGUCCGGAUUUACUGGGUGUAAAGGGCGCGUAGGCGGGAGAACAAGUCAGAUGUGAAAUGCUGAGGCUUAACCUCAGAGCUGCAUUUGAAACUGUACUUCUUGAGUAUCGGAGAGGCAGGCGGAAUUCCUAGUGUAGCGGUGAAAUGCGUAGAUAUUAGGAGGAACACCAGUGGCGAAGGCGGCCUGCUGGACGACAACUGACGCUGAGGCGCGAAAGCGUGGGGAGCAAACAGG
rnacentral:rRNA from 2 species